UUCAUACUUUUGAAUGCCAUUUUUUUUAUAGUAAUGAGUAAUGAAUUGAUCUUGUGUGCAUCAUCAUAUCCCAAUUACACAUGCAUCUUGGAAGCUGGUGUCGACUGAGUUGAAAGAAAAAGUAUACAAUAUGAUUGAGUGUUCUUUACAAGUAGGUACGGUUGAAUGUGGAUAUUAUGUCAUGAGAUACAUGCAAGAAAUUGUGACUAAGGACACAAACAUUAUCACUGGUGCGAUUGAUACAAGAAGCCCAUACACACAGCUUGAAUUGGAUAGACGAGGGGAGUGGGCUGGAUUUUUAGCUCGGUACAUAUGAUAGACACACCUAGAUAUGAUCAUGUUAAUUUUGUAAAUGGCUAAGAUAUGUGAAUGCUCAUAACCUUUUUGUGGAAACGUUUUGUUCAUAGCCAUUAUGAGGGCAAAAGAUAUAUGGGGAUAGACUUCAAUUUUGAUUAUAUAAGACAACUAUUAUCAUUUAAUAUUUUGGAAUAGGACACAUAUAGGAAAUUUUAGUUGGCUAUAUUGGAUUGGAAUUGUGUAAUUGUUGAUGACAUUGUUGAGAAUAAUGAAAUUAUUGUUGGUUUACAUAUUAUACUAAACUUUUUGUCCUUUUUUUUGUUGUGUAAUUGUUCGUUGGAGAA